rnacentral:rRNA from 1 species
CCUACGGGUGGCAGCAGUGAGGAAUAUUGGUCAAUGGACGAAAGUCUGAACCAGCCAUGUCGCGUGCAGGAUGACGGCUCUAUGAGUUGUAAACUGCUUUUGUAUUAGGAUAAACUCCACUAUGUGUAGGGGUUUGAAUGUAUCAUAUGAAUAAGGAUCGGCUAACUCCGUGCCAGCAGCCGCGGUAAUACGGAGGAUCCCAGCGUUAGCCGGAUUUAUUGGGUUUAAAGGGUGCGUAGGCGGUUUGAUAAGUUAGAGGUGAAAUACCGGUGCUCAACACCGGAACUGCCUCUAAUACUGUUGAACUAGAGAGUAGUUGCGGUAGGCGGAAUGUAUGGUGUAGCGGUGAAAUGCUUAGAGAUCAUACAGAACACCGAUUGCGAAGGCAGCUUACCAAACUAUAUCUGACGUUGAGGCACGAAAGCGUGGGUAGCAAACAGGAUUAGAUACCCCAGUAGUC